CCUACGGGCGGCAGCAGUGGGGAAUAUUGGACAAUGGGGGCAACCCUGAUCCAGCCAUGCCGCGUGUGUGAAGAAGGCCCUCGGGUUGUAAAGCACUUUCAGUGAGGAAGAACGCCUGGUGGUUAAUACCCAUCAGGAAAGACAUCACUCACAGAAGAAGCACCGGCUAACUCCGUGCCAGCAGCCGCGGUAAUACGGAGGGUGCGAGCGUUAAUCGGAAUUACUGGGCGUAAAGCGCGCGUAGGUGGCUUGAUAAGCCGGUUGUGAAAGCCCCGGGCUCAACCUGGGAACGGCAUUCGGAAACUGUCAAGCUAGAGUGCAGGAGAGGAAGGUGGAAUUCCCGGUGUAGCGGUGAAAUGCGUAGAGAUCGGGAGGAAUACCAGUGGCGAAGGCGGCCUUCUGGACUGACACUGACGCUGAGGUGCGAAAGCGUGGGUAGCAAACAGGAUUAGAUACCCGAGUAGUC
rnacentral:rRNA from 1 species